ACAAGGUCUUGGUCUUAACCUCCUAUUAUCUUAUCCUCUAAUUAUACAUGCAAGGCUCACCAAAACAGUGAAACAACCCACCUCAACACAUCUGGAGUUGGUAUCAGGCAUACGCCAAUUACACCGAGCAAACAAGCCACACCCCCACGGGCAAGCAGCAGUAGUUAAUAUUAGGCCAUAAGCACCUUUAAAACUUGACCUAGUAAGAAGACAUAUCUAGGGUCGGUUAAUCUCGUGCCAGCGACCGCGGUUACACGACAGACCCAAGAUAAUAGCACCGGCGUAAAGCACGACUAGAACAAUAUUACAAUAAGGGGAACGAAGCCAAACCGGGCUGUAAAAAGCCAUAAGCCCCACUAACACCCACCCCAUACAAUAUAAUUUCAACUCGUGAAAACAGGAACACAAACUAAGAUUAGAUACCUUACUAUGCCUAACCUAACAUGCAAUUAAAACACUAAUUGCUCGCCAAAUAACUACGAGUAAAAACUUAAAAUUUAAAAGACUUGACGGUACUUCACACCGCCCUAGAGGAGCCUGUCUAAUAACCGACACCCCACGAUUAACCCAACCCACCCUAGCCCAACAGUCUAUAUACCGCCAUCGCCAGCUCACCUUGUAAAAGAAACAUAGCGAGCCCAAAAGCAUCCACCACUAACACGAUAGGUCGAGGUGUAACUAAUGGGUGGGAUCAGAUGGGCUACAUUUUCUAAUAUAGAAAAUACGAAUAGACUAUGAAAGUAGAAACCGAAGGAGGAUUUAGCAGUAUGUUGAGGACAAAAUGCUCAACCGAAAUAAACGCAAUGAAGUGCGUACACACCGCCCGUCAUCCCUGCCUAAACAUUAAUAAACUCUAUAAAUCAACAUAACCAACAAACAGGGCAAGUCGUAACAUGGUAAGCGUACUGGAAAGUGCGCUUAGAAA
rnacentral:ncRNA from 1 species